rnacentral:rRNA from 1 species
ACGAACGCUGGCGGCGUGCUUCACCCCUGCCAGUCGAACGGAAAGGCCCUGCUUUUGUGGGGUGCUCGAGUGGCGAACGGGUGAGUAACACGUGAGUAACCUGCCCUUGACUUUGGGAUAACUUCAGGAAACUGGGGCUAAUACCGGAUAGGAGCUCCUGCUGCAUGGUGGGGGUUGGAAAGUUUCGGCGGUUGGGGAUGGACUCGCGGCUUAUCAGCUUGUUGGUGGGGUAGUGGCUUACCAAGGCUUUGACGGGUAGCCGGCCUGAGAGGGUGACCGGCCACAUUGGGACUGAGAUACGGCCCAGACUCCUACGGGAGGCAGCAGUGGGGAAUAAUGCACAAUGGGCGGAAGCCUGAUGCAGCAACGCCGCGUGCGGGAUGACGGCCUUCGGGUUGUAAACCGCUUUCGCCUGUGACGAAGCGUGAGUGACGGUAAUGGGUAAAGAAGCACCGGCUAACUACGUG